rnacentral:rRNA from 1 species
CAGUCGCCGCGGUAAUACGAAGGGUGCAAGCGUUAAUCGGAAUUACUGGGCGUAAAGCGCGCGUAGGUGGUUUGGUAAGAUGGAUGUGAAAUCCCCGGGCUCAACCUGGGAACUGCAUACAUAACUGCCUGACUAGAGUACGGUAGAGGGUGGUGGAAUUUACUGUGUAGCGGUGAAAUGCGUAGAUAUAGGAAGGAACACCAGUGGCGAAGGCGACCACCUGGACUGAUACUGACACUGAGGUGCGAAAGCGUGGGGAGCAAACAGGAUUAGAUACCCCGGUAGUCCCUGUCUCUUAUAA